rnacentral:rRNA from 1 species
GACGAACGCUGGCGGCGUGCUUAACACAUGCAAGUCGAACGAUGAAGAAGAGAAACGCGAACUUCGGUUCAAAUUUCACUUCGGAUUAGUGGCAGACGGGUGAGUAACGCGUGAGCAACCUACCUCUUACAAAGGGAUAGCCUCGGGAAACCGUGAUUAAUACCAUAUGACACAUUCAUAAGGCAUCUUAAGAAUGUUAAAGCUACGGCGGUAAGAGAUGGGCUCGCGUCCCAUUAGCUAGUUGGUGAGGUAACGGCCCACCAAGGCGACGAUGGGUAACCGGACUGAGAGGGUGAACGGUCACAUUGGAACUGAGACACGGUCCAAACUCCUACGGGAGGCAGCAGUGGGGAAUAUUGCACAAUGGAGGGAACUCUGAUGCAGCGACGCCGCGUGAGCGAUGAAGGAAUUCGUUUCGUAAAGCUCUGUUCUAUGGGAAGAAAAGGACCGUACCAUAGGAGAAAGCCCCGGCUAAAUACGUG